rnacentral:rRNA from 1 species
CGUCGAGCUCGUGUCGUGAGAUGUUCGGUUAAGUCCGCUAACGAGCGCAACCCUCACUGUGUGUUAUAUGUGUCACACGGGACUGCCGGUUUUAAGCCGGAGGAAGGUGGGAUGACGUCAAGUCAGCAUGGCCUUUAUAUCCUGGGCUACACACACGCUACAAUGGUCGGUACAAUAGGUUGCCAAGCCGCGAGGCGGAGCCAAUCCAUAAAAGCCGGCCUCAGUUCAGAUUGUAGGCUGCAACUCGCCUGCAUGAAGAUGGAGUUGCUAGUAACCGCAGGUCAGCAAUACUGCGGUGAAUACGUUCCCGGGUCUU